rnacentral:rRNA from 1 species
AUUGAACGCUGGCGGCAUGCCUUACACAUGCAAGUCGAACGGUAACAGGUCUUCGGAUGCUGACGAGUGGCGAACGGGUGAGUAAUACAUCGGAACGUGCCUAGUAGUGGGGGAUAACUACUCGAAAGAGUGGCUAAUACCGCAUGAGAUCUACGGAUGAAAGCAGGGGAUCGCAAGACCUUGUGCUACUAGAGCGGCCGAUGGCAGAUUAGGUAGUUGGUGGGAUAAAAGCUUACCAAGCCGACGAUCUGAAGCUGGUCUGAGAGGACGAUCAGCCACACUGGGACUGAGACACGGCCCAGACUCCUACGGGAGGCAGCAGUGGGGAAUUUCGGACAAUGGGCGAAAGCCUGAUCCAGCAAUGCCGCGUGCAGGAUGAAGGCCUUCGGGUUGUAAACUGCUUUUGUACGGAACGAAAAGCCCCGGGUUAAUACCCUGGGGUCAUGACGGUACCGUAAGAAUAAGCACCGGCUAACUACGUGCCAGCCGCCGCAGUAA